rnacentral:rRNA from 1 species
GUCCACGCUGUAAACGGUGCGCACUAGGUGUCGGGGGUAUUCACCCCUCCGGUGCCGUAGCUAACGUACUAAGUGCGCCGCCUGGGAAGUACGGCCGCAAGGCUAAAACUCAAAGGAAUUGACGGGGGCCCGCACAAGCGGUGGAGCAUGUGGUUCAAUUCGAUGCAACGCGAAGAACCUUACCUGGUCUUGACAUCCCGGGAAUCUCCCUGAAAGGGGAGAGUGCCUUCGGGAACCCGGUGACAGGUGCUGCAUGGCUGUCGU